rnacentral:rRNA from 1 species
AUUGAACGCUGGCGGCACGCCUUACACAUGCAAGUCGAACGGCAGCACGGACUUCGGUCUGGUGGCGAGUGGCGAACGGGUGAGUAACAUAUCGGAACGUAUCCAAUAAUGGGGAUAACUAAUCGAAAGGUUGGCUAAUACCGCAUACGCCCUGAGGGGGAAAGCGGGGGAUCGUAAGACCUCGCGCUAAUAGAGCGCCCGAUGUUCGAGUAGCUAGUUGGGGGGGUAAUGGCUCACCAAGGCGACGAUCCGUAGCUGGUCUGAGAGGAUGAUCAGCCCCACUGGAACUGAGGCACGGUCCAGACUACUACGGGAGGCAGCAGUGGGGAAUAUUGGACAAUGGGCGAAAGCCUGAUCCAGCCAUGCCGCGUGUGUGAAGAAGGUCUUCGGAUUGUAAAGCACUUUAAGUUGGGAGGAAGGUCUGUAAGCUAAUAUCUUGCAGUCUUGACGUUACCAACAGAAUAAGCACCGGCUAACUCUGUGCCAGCAGCCGCCGUAAUAC